AGGAUAGAACGCUAGCGACAGGACUUAACACAUGACGAAGUCGGAGGGGCAGCAAUAGAAGUAGACAAUUACGUUGGUGGCCGACCGGCGCGACGGGUGAAGUAACGCGUAUCGACCAACCUACCUAUCGAAGGAAGGGAACGUAACCGGACGAAAGUCGGACUAAUACCGCAUAAAACAGGGGCACCGCAUGGUGAUAUUGUUAAAGAAAUUCGCUGAUAGAUGGGCAUGCGUUCCAUUAGGUAGUUGGUGAGGUAACGGCUCACCAAGCCGACGAUGGAUAGGGGAACUGAGAGGUUGGUCCCCCACACUGGUACUGAGACACGGACCAGACUCCUACGGGAGGCAGCAGUGAGGAAUAUUGGUCAAUGGGCGGGAGCCUGAACCAGCCAAGUCGCGUGAAGGAAGAAGGAUCUAUGGUUCGUAAACUUCUUUGCAGGGGAAUAAAGUGCAGGACGUGUCCUGUUUUGUAUGUACCCUGAGAAUAAGGAUCGGCUAACUCCGUGCCAGCCGCCGC
rnacentral:rRNA from 1 species